GCUGCUUUUUUUUCCCAGGGGGAAGGUCC
rnacentral:piRNA from 1 species